ACGAACGCUGGCGGCGUGCUUAACACAUGCAAGUCGAACGGUGAAGCGCCUUCCUUUUUGGUGGGUGUGGAUGAGUGGCGAACGGGUGAGUAACACGUGAGUAACCUGCCCCCUUCUUCUGGAUAACCGCAUGAAAGUGUGGCUAAUACGGGAUAUUCUGGGUCUGUCGCAUGAUGGGUCUGGGAAAGAUAUUGUUUCGGUGGGGGAUGGGCUCGCGGCCUAUCAGCUUGUUGGUGGGGUGAUGGCCUACCAAGGCGGUGACGGGUAGCCGGCCUGAGAGGGUGGACGGUCACACUGGGACUGAGACACGGCCCAGACUCCUACGGGAGGCAGCAGUGGGGAAUAUUGCACAAUGGGCGCAAGCCUGAUGCAGCGACGCCGCGUGAGGGAUGGAGGCCUUCGGGUUGUGAACCUCUUUCGCCAGUGAAGCAGGACUGCCUCGUUUGUGGGUGGGUUGACGGUAGCUGGAUAAGAAGCGCCGGCUAACUACGUG
rnacentral:rRNA from 1 species